CCUCAGUAACGGCGAGUGAAGCGGCAACAGCUCAAAUUUGAAAUCUGGCCCCCCCGGGGUCCGAGUUGUAAUUUGUAGAGGAUGCUUCGGGUGCGGCGCCGGUCUAAGUUCCUUGGAACGGGACGUCAUAGAGGGUGAGAAUCCCGUAUGUGACCGGUGACCCAGCCCGUGUGAAGCUCCUUCGACGAGUCGAGUUGUUUGGGAAUGCAGCUCUAAAUGGGUGGUAAAUUUCAUCUAAAGCUAAAUACUGGCCAGAGACCGAUAGCGCACAAGUAGAGUGAUCGAAAGAUGAAAAGCACUUUGGAAAGAGAGUUAAAAAGUACGUGAAAUUGUUGAAAGGGAAGCGCUUGCGGCCAGACUUGCUCGGGGGUGAUCAGCCGUCCUUCUCCAGGCGGCGCACUCGCCCACGAUCAGGCCAGCAUCGGUUCAGGCGGCCGGAUAAAGGCCCCGGGAACGUGGCUCCCUCCGGGGAGUGUUACAGCCCGGGGUGCAAUGCGGCCAGCCCGGACCGAGGACCGCGCUUCGGCUAGGAUGCUGGCGUAAUGGUCGCAAGCGACCCGUCUUGAAACACGGACCAAGGAGUCUAACAUCUAUGCGAGUGUUUGGGUGUCAAACCCAUGCGCGCAAUGAAAGUGAACGGAGGUGGGAACCCUUCAGGGCGCACCAUCGACCGAUCCUGAUGUCUUCGGAUGGAUUUGAGUAAGAGCAUAGCCGUUGGGACCCGAAAGAUGGUGAACUAUGCCUGAAUAGGGUGAAGCCAGAGGAAACUCUGGUGGAGGCUCGCAGCGGUUCUGACGUGCAAAUCGAUCGUCAAAUUUGGGUAUAGGGGCGAAAG
rnacentral:rRNA from 1 species